UGAGCCUCACUACCCCGGCUAUCAGGACAGCUGCCAGAUCGCACCGUUUCCAGAAGCUGCGUUGCCAACAUCACAUCCCAAAAUAGUGUUGACAUCCCUGCCUGCGCUGGCGGUCCCACCCCCAACUCCCACCAAAGCAGCACCUCCCGCGUUGGUCAACGGGCUGGAGCUGUCAGAGCCGCGGAGCUGGCUGUACCUGGAAGAGAUGGUCAACUCCUUGCUCAACACCGCGCAGCAGCUGAAGACGCUGUUUGAGCAAGCCAAGCAUGCCAGCACCUACCGAGAAGCUGCCGCAAACCAGGCCAAGAUCCACGCUGACGCAGAGCGGAAGGAGGUAACGUUGGAAUAAAUGGGAAGACACGACCUGUGCUGAGUAACCCCAGGCCACCCUGGUGCCUGCGCCCAGCUGUGUAAGACCCACCUUGGCUCACAAGGCCCCUGCCCCACCUUUCUGGAAAAGGGAGCCGUGGAGAGUCAUUUAUAAAUGAAGCUUUUCCU
rnacentral:sRNA from 1 species